UUUUCUUGAAAUCCUUGCAGAAAAUCAAAUCAUUAUACAUUUACCAAAUCUCCAGUUAUCCCAUGGCAAGCCUCCAUUUAAUGCAUUGUUCUGUUUGUUUCCUGGCUUUAGGGACUUGAGGCCUGUGUUUCUAGAAACUUCAAAAAUAUUUGUUAAAUCAUGCAGUUGUCUGAAAUUAGUGGGAAUUAACUCAUCAUAUAUUCUUUUUUAAAAAAUGCUGCAGCAUGUCCUUAUUAUCAAAAGAUCCUCAGCUUUGCAGGAAGGACCAAAUCCUCAGACAUACAAACAAGUGUGAGACAUACUCUGCUCCAACAGCCACUCUCCUGACAUUCUGCCAUAUAGAAGCACAGUGUGUCUCUCACAGAGAAAUCGUAACCCUUUGACUUACUGACGCCCAUAUACACCUGUACCAUGUUACUGACAAUUUCAUGUGAAAAGCCAAGUAUGGCCCAGGCACUUUCUUGACCAAUUAAAACAAAACAAAAAAUGCCUGCCAUCCUUAUAUCAAACAGGAAAAAAUAUCACAGGAGCAGUAUGGUGUGUGUCAGCCACCUGUGGUCUCACAGAAAAAAACUGACAAAGACCAGAACCAAAUUUCACAAUGACAGCACACUAGGGAAAAAUUAAAAUGUUAAAAGGUUGCAUUUCAAAUGGCUAUCAGUAGAAUUAGAAAUGAGCUUAACUUGAAUCAUCACACAUUUAAUUUUGAAUUAAAUUUAGUGGAGAUAACAUGACAUAAAUUUUCCACAACUUGUACUCUGUUAAAAAUAGCCAAAUAUUAGAAGCUUCCAUAUAUGUGGAAAGAAUUUGAAUACAAUUAUGCAACAACAGUGGUUGUGGGGUGGGGUGUCACCCGAAUUAGAUACCAUAUACUAGCAAAUAAAAUUCCCAGUAUUAGGAAUGGGUUGCCUCUUCAUGAUCUGUAGGUCACUGGGGCCCCAUAGACCACCAGGCAUUAUAGGCUAUGGUUCAUACUCUCAGUAACCCACCAGAACUUGAGGAUAAGGCCUGUUUCUGAAGUCACCACAUAUUGGAUAUUCAGAACAUGGGAAAUCAAGCUGGAUCAUCAUAUAAUUCAUUUCAAAUAAAAUUCAAAUUAAAUAAACAACUGCAAGGCACUCUCUACUCCUACAGCCACUCUCUUGACAUUCUCCCACAGAGAAGGUGUGUAUCUCAGAGACACAGACAAGUACUCAAUUGUCCCUUCAUUCCUCCUGGUUAGCUUCCAUAUUACUGGGGUAGAAAAGUAAUCUUUAAAACCAUAGUAACACCCUGGCGGGCACUCUAUGUCCAGUUGUGCAACAAUAGCGUGAAUGUUAUAGGUAUCUCUAACUGCUUUCUGAUUGACCUCAAGGCCUAGUCCAUGAGAGAGAAUGUGUUUUUUGGGAUUGCUGAUGGGGCCAAAGAUAUAUGGCUAGGCAGGUUCUAAAACAAAAUAUGAAAAAGUAAAAUAACCUACCAUUAUUUUUAUUACCAUUAUUUGGUAAAUACAGAAAAUGAGAAUCAGUUCAUCUUGUCUGUGAAGAAUUGCUUAUCUAGUGAUGGUCAUGAGCAGACUCUAGUGAAGGGCUGCCUGGCUCCAGCCAGCUCUUCUGUCAAAUGCCUGUGAACUGAGGAGAUGAAUAGAGAAAUAGGCAAUUCAAUCAGUUUCAUCAACACUUAGUGAAACUAGGCUGUAGUUCAUAGUUUUGUCAGUCUCUACCCUCUUCAUACAGAGAGAUUAGUAACUGUAGCUGCUUCAUUUUGGAAACAUUUCCAUAUGCCAUAAGGCAUAAUUUUACAUUAAACAAUUUGAAACACAUUCGUAGUUUGGAACAAGGCCAGACUCAGCUUAAUGUGUAUGAACACUCUGUUCAUAUUAGGGAGCUCAUAUUCCCUUUUAUAUCACGAAAAGCACUGCAUACAUAGGACCAUUGAAAUAUGACUGAGAAUUGCUCUUCUCCAUGUGAUUUUAUGUGUACAUGAUGCACAGAUCCCACUCUUUGAAUCUGGAUGUAGCAGAGAAAAUGAAUGUCUCGUGGCUUUAGGUCCAGCUGUUAAUUGAAGGGAUUUUCAAAAUGUGAUGCACAGAUCUGAGAACACUUGACUUCCCAUCUUUCCAUGCAUUAAAAUACCUCAUCUGAAAAUAUACAAGUUCUGUGUUCUACAUUUAUUAAGACACAUUAUAUUAUUUAAGAACUUUGCGUAGUUGAAAUACCCCUUCUAGGACAUCAUAGAUUUUUUUUAUUGGAUAUUUUCUUUAUUUACAUUUCAAAUGUUAUCCCCUUUCCUGGAUUCCCCUUCAAAAAACACCCUCCCCUACCCCCUCCUCCUGCUCACCAACCCACCCACUCCAGCUUCCUGGCCCUGGCCUUCCCUCACAUUGGGGCAUAGAGACAUCAUAGCUUUUAUUAUAUUGGGAAGCAGGUUUGAGAUUUUCAAAGCAACGCCUUACCAAGCAGAAGCUUACCAUCUGGAAGGGAAUA
rnacentral:lncRNA from 1 species